AACACAUGCAAGUCGAACGGCAGCACAGUGGAGCUUGCUCCAUGGGUGGCGAGUGGCGGACGGGUGAGUAAGGCAUCGGGACCUACCCAGACGUGGGGGAUAACGUAGGGAAACUUACGCUAAUACCGCAUACGUCCUACGGGAGAAAGCGGGGGAUCUUCGGACCUCGCGCGGUUGGAUGGACCGAUGUGCGAUUAGCUAGUUGGUGGGGUAACGGCUCACCAAGGCGACGAUCGCUAGCUGGUCUGAGAGGAUGAUCAGCCACACUGGGACUGAGACACGGCCCAGACUCCUACGGGAGGCAGCAGUGGGGAAUAUUGGACAAUGGGCGCAAGCCUGAUCCAGCAAUGCCGCGUGUGUGAAGAAGGCCUUCGGGUUGUAAAGCACUUUUAUCAGGAGCGAAAUCUGCAGGGCUAAUACCCAUGCAGUCUGACGGUACCUGAGGAAUAACACCGGCUAACUCCGUGCCAGCAGCCGCGGUAAUACCGAGGGUGCAAGCGUUAAUCGGAAU
rnacentral:rRNA from 1 species